rnacentral:lncRNA from 1 species
GAGGCUUUGGGAUCCGUGCAACUAAGAUGGUAUGCUUUGAGAUCUGAGAAACAAAUAAUUGAGGGGAUUUUAUUGUUUUUGAGAUUAAAAUUGGAUCAUGUGCAAAAGAGUUAGAACGAGUGGGAAGAAAUUUAGGUGAACAUGUGAAGAGUCAGGAAUUAAUGGGAAGCACUGGAUUUUGGAGAAGAGUUCUUGGAGUCGACUUUGGAGGAUGCAAAAUUGUGAAAUGAUGCAGUGUCAGUUUAGGCUUUACCUAAUUAAGCUUGACUUGACUUGCAUACAUUAAGCUCAAUCAGUAAAUAAAUAAGUAAAACUCGGAAUGUUCUUGUAAAUUAUGGCCAAUACCAUGCCCGUAGGAAUUCGGGUCUCUCCAGUUUCACUGGUAUCAUAAUUUCUGGAUUUUUGUGUGAAUUCUAGCUCUUCCAGAGUGGUAUCUCACUGAUGGCUCGGGCCCCCCCGGAAGGAGGCCUUCUUUGCCUUCCACAAACCUUACUGGAGACUUAUCUUUCUUUCCAUCCUUAACCGACUCCAAAGGAUACGGGAAAGCCUAGGAAUGGCUGAACUUAACCCAAUCUUCGCA